rnacentral:lncRNA from 1 species
ACCAUUCUCCUGCCUCAGCCUCCCGAGUAGCUGGGACUAUAGGUGACCGCCACCACGCCCAGCUAAUUUUUUGUAUUUUUAGUAGAGAUGGGGUUUCACCUUGUUAGCCAGGAUGGUCUCGAUCUUCUGACCUCGUGAUCCGCCCGCCUCAGCCUCCCAAAGUGCUGGAAUUACAGGCGUGAGCCACCGGCCCGGCAGCAAAUUUUAAGCCAAGAAAUAGAAAGUUGCCAGAACCCCAGGAACCACCUACCCUCUUCCCAUAUGACCACUUCCCCACACUCUCCACCUUCCUUACUUCUAUAAUGCCCCUGGCUUCAGAUAGAAAGGCCCUGAACAUCUACUGGGGUUUUGAGAAGAAUAUCAACACUUUCCUAAGAUAAUUUUCUAUCUGUAAGAUCAUAUACUUGAGUGGAAAUGGCUUUGCUAACUGGCAUAUUUUUAUUCAUUUCAUCAACUUAAAUAUACCCUUACAAAAGAGGUUUAUACCAAUACAUCAAACGUACAACAAAGUGAACACAGUGACUCCAAACCAGAUCUGUAGGCCUCAUGCCUCAAAUAAUGAAAAUUGUGAUUUUUUUUUCAUUGUGCAAACAACUUGAUUAUUAACUCUGAAGAAUAUCCACUAAAAAUAUUUUGAAUAUUAUGAAAAGCACUUGGAAAAACUUGAUAUCUAUUC